CACGUAGGAGGCGAGCGUUGUCCGGAAUCAUUGGGCGUAAGAGCGCGCAGGCGGCUUGGCAAGUCGGGUGUGAAAUCCCGGGGCUCAACCCCGGGACUGCAUUCGAUACUGUCAGGCUAGAGGUAGGUAGGGGAGAUCGGAAUUCCUGGUGUAGCGGUGAAAUGCGCAGAUAUCAGGAGGAACACCGGUGGCGAAGGCGGAUCUCUGGGCCUUACCUGACGCUCAGGCGCGAAAGCUAGGGGAGCGAACAGG
rnacentral:rRNA from 1 species